CGCGCCGCCCCCUCGGGUCGUGACCUGCGCUGCCGUCCGCCGUUCCCGAAUUCGGGAGCUCGUAGCUAAGUCUUGUCUCUGUGCACCGGACCUACUCGUCUGUUAACACACCUCCAGGGACAGUGACCCCACCGCCUCCGUGGGCAGCCCAUGCCAACGCUUUGCAGCCCUCCGUGUGGAAAAAGUUUUCCUACUGUCCAACCUGACUCUCCCCAGGCACAAUGUGAGGCCGUAACCUUAAAAAAAAAAAAAAAAAAAAAAAAUAGAUUCCCUUGUGGAAGGGGAAGCCGUGCACCUGCCUUGGAGUACUUUCUCGCAGGCUGUGCUGUGAGAAGAGCCGCAGUGCAGUGCGGAGGUUUCAGAGAUGUGCCCGGAGCAGAAGUUUGUACAGCUGCCAGCCCUUCCUGGUGGGUUUCCAUGCAGGAGCAAAGAAAUGGCUGCUGAGAUACAUUAUGUGGAAUGGGAACCUGGACUACCUUCUGCACAAAGCUGCUGAGGAAAAGCAUAUGACUUAGAGACUUCUGAGUUUUCAUAUGGCAUUUUGUGAAAUUUCUGGAGCUGGAAGUCAAACACCACUGCCAACUCUGCAGCCACAGGGCGCUCCCAGGAUGGUCUGACAGUUUCUUUGUUCCAUUCACAACGUUUGAAUUAUGGGAUUGGUGUGGGAAGAACUGACUUGAUGGAGGAAGUGAAAAUUAACUCCAGGUUGUCUGGACAUCCAGAAGCCCUGAGGAUUUCAGGAGUACCAAAGGCUGAGGAUGUUUGUAGACUAAACAACUGCGGCACUUGCAUCAAAUGAGAAAAGUAGUUUUCCUCCUUCAGAGUAACAGCUGCACAACAGAUUAGUCCAAAGAAGCGAAAUGGGAUCAGAUGUGAAAAGUUUGGAUGUAACCCAUUGUGUUGCUCAUCGCUGACAGCCUCAAGACCCUGUGCCUACCUUCAGCCUGUACAGAGACCCAGAUUUAUAGUGGUACACCACUGACACUUUGAAACAGCAGCCCCAUUUUAUUGAGGGCUGCACAUGAUUUCAGUCCUUUUGAGACUGAAAAUCUUCUCCAGUACUUCUGCUUGGACACACUCCUUCCACCUCUGCAAACAAAAUGCUUUAAGACAGAAGCAAGAAUGGCAAAGAACAUACGAUUAAGCCCAUCAGUGGCUACCGAAACAUGACAGACGAGUACACUGUAAACUAAGUUGUUCCAUUUGGAACAGGCUGCCCAGGGAGGCGGUGAGGACCCGUUCCUGGAGCUGUUCGGGAAACAUGGAGCUGUGGCGCUCAGGGUCUGUUUGCACUCUCAAGCCCCCGCUGACAGGACUGCCACCACUCCCAUCCUCUUUGCAGCACUUUACUGGCGUGAGUUACAAGCAAAGAAAUCCAGCUACCGUUGAACUGAGUCUCUCGGGAAGGGGCUGCGGUUCUUCCUGCAGUCCAAUGGACAGCGGAGGCUGCAGCGAGCGUCCUGCAGAAACGGCUUGGAGAAAAGCGACCUUAGAGCCGCAGGCUCCAACUAAGCUAGAGCUCGGUACCGGCAACGCGACCGGUCGCGGCGCUGAGUCUAACUUUGCACAGCCCAGAGACUGGAAUCAGAGCAGCUCCUCGAAACGCCUGCGAUUCAUUCGCUCCCUGCGCAGAGCGGCUGCAUCGAAGCCGCCUUUUUUGGCGCGGGGCAGCGGCACGAGCA